CUCGUCGUGCCGUGUCGCAUCGCCGUCCAGCCAAGUCGAAGGAGAGGCAUCGCCAUCACGGUUGACUGGGCUAGCUGAGGGAGAGUGAGAAAUGAAUGAGAGCGCUCACGAUGGAGAAAGGGGAGAUGUCGCCACUGUACCGGUCACUGUUGAGCCGCCGGGCAGAAGCUUCCAUGGCCGUUGCCGUCGAGCUCACAAGUGAGAGAAAGAGAGUUCGCAGGUGAGAGAGGAAGGUGUUGCGUUGCUGUUCGUUGCUGUGCAGCCUCUGCCACGCCUUGUCGUCGCUAGAGUUGCCACCGCCGUGUGCCACCGCCGCUUCUCACCGCCGAGGGGAAGCCUUGCCUACGUUGCUGCCUUCCGGGUCAGAUUCACCGAUUAAUGCUACCGCCGCCAGAACGGGUUUCCUGGUAUGAUUUCUGCUUCUUGCGGCUCCACCGUUCUGUUCCUCUGUAGCUGUAGUGAGUUUUCCAUCUAAAACCCUUAUAAUUAUUGUUGUCAUAUGCUUGUUCUGAUUCAAUUUUUGAUAUAUGUCCUUGUCUUCGGUUUCUUGAAACUAUUUCAGUCACUGGGUUGUUAUAAGAGGUGUCGGGGCUGUUGUUGUCUCUAUGGGGGUUAUUGUUGUCACUGUCGCCAUGAAUUGAAAGAAAAGGGAAUUAUCACGAUAAAUUACGCGGACUCAGCUAACUGAGCUUUACCUUUUCAGGAACCGGAUGAAGAAGUAUUAAGAAGAGUUAUACUGCGUUUGGUUUAUAUGCUGUUGUGUUAAUUAGAUUAUUUUCUUCCCUCGUCUUUGUUAUUACAAGUUUGUAAGAGGGAUAGGAAUUGUAUGUUUUAUAUGUACAAUAUAUUAAAUUACUAUGUAAGGAGUUUUGUAUAUGAAUCUAUGCCUGUUUGUAUUUUUCUUAAGAUAACGUUAUUUAUUUCUGGUUU